GCUUCCCUUCUUCCUUUCACGUGGUGAGUAGCGGGGAGCAGGGUUUAAAAGGAGCGAAUAAGUUCAAGCAGGCGCGCGAUCAUUUUUUUGGUGAGAGUCUUUCUGUUUCUGUUUGUGAAAUAAAAUAUGUGUUUACAGUUCUAGACAGAAUUAACGUAUUGGGUUGAAACAGUAAAUGAGUAAGAAGCUUGUGUACCUAUAAUUAAUCGAGACUAGAGUCACAUCUUGAUGUCUUCAGUCGUUGUGGUGUGCUAUAGUACUCGGAGAGAAAAACUAAUCUUUAUUCACUGACUUUGUUGUUCUGUAGCAAAGUCAGUCACCAGGUUAGUGACAGACCUACACCUGAAUUCCAGUGAACUUUCUGAAAAUUGGGGGAGGCAGAGUGCUGAUUAAAGUGACUAAAGAGUUUCAAGGGAAGAGAUUUGUAAGUAAAAAUGAGCCACACAGCAACAUUGCAUUGUUUUUUUCCUUUGUAGCCAUUCAGUUUAUUUGGAAAAGUUGUUACGAGACCUUACUGCUUGAAGGGGGGGAAACUAUGCACCAGAUCAACUCUGCGUGCUAAGUGGAUGAGCCCCCAAACCACGCUGGAUUAAGAGUACCUGCUGAUUUUGUAGUCUUGGUAAGUUUGUGAGGAGCAAAUACAGACUUUAGAUUACAGGCAUCUUCAACCUUUUCAGGCCCAGGACCCGCUUUUAACCCAAACAUGAAUUUGGCAACCCAUUUCUUACUCUUUUACCAUAUAUUUGCAUGGUGAUACUGCUCCUGUUGCAAACCACCUUGGAUCAGGC